rnacentral:rRNA from 1 species
CGGAAGUCUGACCGAGCAACGCCGCGUGAGUGAAGAAGGUUUUCGGAUCGUAAAGCUCUGUUGUAAGAGAAGAACGAGUGUGAGAGUGGAAAGUUCACACUGUGACGGUAUCUAACCAGAAAGGGACGGCUAACUACGUGCCAGCAGCCGCGGUAAUACGUAGGUCCCGAGCGUUGUCCGGAUUUAUUGGGCGUAAAGCGAGCGCAGGCGGUUAGAUAAGUCUGAAGUUAAAGGCUGUGGCUUAACCAUAGUACGCCUUGGAAACUGUUUAACUUGAGUGCAAGAGGGGAGAGUGGAAUUCCAUGUGUAGCGGUGAAAUGCGUAGAUAUAUGGAGGAACACCGGUGGCGAAAGCGGCUCUCUGGCUUGUAACUGACGCUGAGGCUCGAAAGCGUGGGGAGCAAACAGGAUUAGAUACCCUGGUAGUCCACGCCGUAAACGAUGAGCGCUAGGUGUUAGACCCUUUCCGGGGUUUAGUGCCGCAGCUAACGCAUUAAGCACUCCGCCUGGGGAGUACGACGCAAGGU